AAUGGUUUGCUUUGAAAUGGCCUUGCCCUCUGCCCCUGCAGCAAAGCUGACUAGCAGCUGGUCAGAUUUUCUGAAAGGUUUAGCCCUGUCAAGGUAGAACCCGAGCUGUCUGUGC